AUUGAACGCUGGCGGCAGGCCUAACACAUGCAAGUCGAACGGUAACAGGAAGAAGCUUGCUUCUUUGCUGACGAGUGGCGGACGGGUGAGUAAUGUCUGGGAAACUGCCUGAUGGAGGGGGAUAACUACUGGAAACGGUAGCUAGUACCGCAUAACGUCGCAAGACCAAAAAGGGGGACCUUCGGGCCUCUUGCCAUCGGAUGUGCCCAGAUGGGAUUAGCUAGUAGGUGGGGUAACGGCUCACCUAGGCGACGAUCCCUAGCUGGUCUGAGAGGAUGACCAGCCACACUGGAACUGAGACACGGUCCAGACUCCUACGGGAGGCAGCAGUGGGGAAUAUUGCACAAUGGGCGCAAGCCUGAUGCAGCCAUGCCGCGUGUAUGAAGAAGGCCUUCGGGUUGUAAAGUACUUUCAGCGGGGAGGAAGGGAGUAAAGUUAAUACCUUUGCUCAUUGACGUUACCCGCAGAAGAAGCACCGGCUAACUCCGUG
rnacentral:rRNA from 1 species